rnacentral:rRNA from 1 species
AUUGAACGCUGGCGGCAGGCCUAACACAUGCAAGUCGAGCGGUAACACAGGGAGCUUGCUCCCGGGUGACGAGCGGCGGACGGGUGAGUAAUGUCUGGGAAACUGCCUGAUGGAGGGGGAUAACUACUGGAAACGGUAGCUAAUACCGCAUAACGUCGCAAGACCAAAGAGGGGGACCUUCGGGCCUCUUGCCAUCAGAUGUGCCCAGAUGGGAUUAGCUAGUAGGUGGGGUAACGGCUCACCUAGGCGACGAUCCCUAGCUGGUCUGAGAGGAUGACCAACCACACUGGAACUGAGACACGGUCCAGACUCCUACGGGAGGCAGCAGUGGGGAAUAUUGCACAAUGGGCGCAAGCCUGAUGCAGCCAUGCCGCGUGUAUGAAGAAGGCCUUCGGGUUGUAAAGUACUUUCAGCGGGGAGGAAGGUGUUGAGGUUAAUAACCUCAGCAAUUGACGUUACCCGCAGAAGAAGCACCGGCUAACUCCGUGCCAGCCGCCGCCGUAAGAC